rnacentral:rRNA from 1 species
UACGUAGGGGGCUAGCGUUGUCCGGAAUCAUUGGGCGUAAAGAGCGUGUAGGCGGUCCGGUAAGUCCGCUGUGAAAGCCGGGGGCUCAACCCUCGAAUGCCGGUGGAUACUGUCGGGCUAGAGUGCGGAAGAGGCGAGUGGAAUUCCUGGUGUAGCGGUGAAAUGCGCAGAUAUCAGGAGGAACACCUAUUGCGAAGGCAGCUCGCUGGGACGUAACUGACGCUGAGGAGCGAAAGCGUGGGGAGCGAACAGG